rnacentral:tRNA from 1 species
GCUGCGGUAGCUCAGUGGUAGAGCGGAGGAUUGCAGUUAAGACCUGAUAUCCUCAGGUCCUGUGUUCAAUCCACAGUCGCAGCU